CUGAACCCUUCCUCCUCCUCAAAGAGAAACUGUAUCUCUGGUGAGAAAGAUUCCUAAUAUCUGUACAAUUUCAUUUUCCCAUUUCAGAGCCCAAGCUGCCCACGGGCCUGUGAAGAGUCCUCCACUGUUGCAGAGAGAAUUUCUAAGAUGAAAGAAGAUUUUUUUUUUUCACGAUGAAGUCUCCAACAAUAAGAACUGGAGACUCGCCUGCUUCAUGAAGCCUGUGAAUUCUUUCUGAGCUAUCUUUGAGAACUUAUCCGAGGGAUCAAAAGCGUUUGAUAUUCUUCCAAAUGCUAAAAAUCAGAGGAGGAAGCAUGAGCCGAAGUAAGUCAAAUUUGGAAUGACCUGAGUUUGCAACUGCUUCGUCUCCAGCCCUCAUUUCUAGAAGUUGCUGGGACUGGUGUAUGUGAAUUCUUUGGCUAGUUACGCUUGUGUGCAAG